UUCCCUGGUAAUGGGCAAAAAGACACCGUAGUGGUGCUCUUACAUCAGUCAGGGCAGAGCAGAUGGCAGUCCUUUGUUCAUCCUGGCUUGAUAUCUAGCUUGGUGGCCACAGCUGUCUUAUGCCUAGGACUCAUCA
rnacentral:snoRNA from 1 species